CUGAGUCAAUUAAAAGUAGAGAGUAGGAGAAUUUUUACUGAGAGAUGAAUGGAUGCAAUGUCUUUUGAAAGACAAAUUCUUUUUGUUCACAUCUCUACAUAUUGAUUUAGGAACUUAGCAUUGGCUACUGAAUUUAAAUUAGGAGCCAAAAUAUUCUGCUUUGCUUUUAUGAAUGCUGUUAAUGAAUUAAGCUUUCCAGUAUGCCCUCAAGAGGCUUGUUCAGCACUUUGCUGAUUGUAGGUGCAAUAAUUAAGCCAAAGGACAAGACCUGGAAAAACACCAUAGGCACUUCUAACUUAGGUGUGAGAAGGUGAAAACCUGGAUAUCUGUUCACCCCAUCCUACUGCUCUGCAUGUGGGGACUGGUUGCAUCUGGGAGAGGUAGGGUUGCGUGGGCUUGUUCCAGAAGCUGGUGAAGUGUUGAGCCACACUUAUUUAUUUUAGGAACAAACAAUUGCUUUUAAGG